rnacentral:rRNA from 1 species
CCUACGGGUGGCAGCAGUGGGGAAUAUUGUACAAUGGGGGAAACCCUGAUGCAGCAACGCCGCGUGAGUGAAGACGUCUUUCGGUGUGUAAAGCUCUAUCUGCAGGGAAGUAGAAAGACGGUACCUGACCAAGAAGCCCCGGCUAACUACGUGCCAGCAGCCGCGGUACUACGUAGGGGGCAAGCGUUAUCCGGAUUUACUGGGUGUAAAGGGAGCGUAGACGGGUGUGCAAGUCUGAAGUGAAAGCCCGGGGCUCAACCGCGGAACUGCUUUGGAAACUGUAUAGCUUGAGUACUGGAGAGGUAGGCGGAAUUCGUGGUGUAGCGGUGAAAUGCGUAGAUAUUAGGAGGAACACCAGUGGCGAAGGCGGCCUACUGGACAGAAACUGACGUUGAGGCUCGAAAGCGUGGGUAGCAAACAGGAUUAGAUACCCCGGUAGUC